rnacentral:rRNA from 1 species
CCGACGGUGAGGGACGAAAGCUGGGGGAGCAAACCGGAUUAGAUACCCGGGUAGUCCCAGCUGUAAACGAUGCGCGUUAGGUGUGUCAGUGACCACGUGUCACUGAUGUGCCGAAGGGAAACCGUGAAACGCGCCGCCUGGGGAGUACGGUCGCAAGGCUGAAACUUAAAGGAAUUGGCGGGGGAGCACCACAACGGGUGAAGCCUGCGGUUUAAUCGGACUCAACGCCGGAAAUCUCACCGGAUAA